rnacentral:rRNA from 1 species
UACAGAGGUCUCAAGCGUUGUUCGGAUUCAUUGGGCGUAAAGGGCGCGUAGGCGGCGGGGUAAGUCGGGUGUGAAAUCUCAGAGCUCAACUCUGAAACUGCACUCGAUACUGCUCUGCUUGAGGACUGGAGAGGAGACUGGAAUUCACGGUGUAGCAGUGAAAUGCGUAGAUAUCGUGAGGAGACCAGUGGCGAAGGCGGGUCUCUGGACAGUCCUGACUG